AUUGAACGCUGGCGGCAUGCCUUACACAUGCAAGUCGAACGGUAACAGGUCUUCGGAUGCUGACGAGUGGCGAACGGGUGAGUAAUACAUCGGAACGUGCCUAGUAGUGGGGGAUAACUACUCGAAAGAGUGGCUAAUACCGCAUGAGAUCUACGGAUGAAAGCGGGGGAUGGCAGGACCAGGUGUUACUAGAGGGGCCGAUGGCGGAUUAGGUAGUGGGUGGGAUAAAAGCUUACCAAGCCGACGAUCUGUAGCUGGUCUGAGAGGACGAUCAGCCACACUGGGACUGAGACACGGCCCAGACUCCUACGGGAGGCAGCAGUGGGGAAUUUUGGACAAUGGGCGCAAGCCCGAUCCAGCAAUGCCGCGUGCAGGAUGAAGGCCUUCGGAUUGUAAACUGCUUUUGUACGGAACGAAAAGCCCCGGGUUAAUACCCUGGGGUCAUGACGGUACCGUAAGAAUAAGCACCGGCUAACUACGUGCCAGCCGCCGCGGUAA
rnacentral:rRNA from 1 species